UCCGAGAGGACAUAUUGAGUGGUGGA
rnacentral:piRNA from 1 species